CACAAGCAGGGGGAGUGGGAGAGGGAGAAGCAGACUCCCCAGGGAGCAGGGAGCCCGAUGCGGGGCUCGAUCCCAGGACCCUGAGACCACGACCUGAGCCGAAGGCAGACGCUUAACGACUGAGCCACCCAGGCGCCCCUGGAUCCAGCUCUGCAACCCUCUCUCUAGUACAGGGAAACGAGCCCUUUGGGCUGCGCCACCCACAGACGCGUCCAGAAGCAGGUGCUGCGGAGAUGGACUCCGUGACCUUCACAGACGUGGCCGUGAAUUUCACCAGGGAGGAGUGGGCCCUGCUGGACUCUGCACAGAGAAUUCUCUACAGAGACGUGAUGUUGGAAAACUGCAGGAACCUGGCUUCUGUGG